UCCAAAUACAAUGCAAAUUGCACACAUAAAUAUAGUGAGAUUUUCUGGAAAUAUGGUUCAAAAAUAAAAAUUAUGUCCCCAACUAGUGUGCCCCAGUGCCAUUUCCACCACUGAGCGUGCACUGCGUAUACACCAUGGUAUACACACACACACACACACACACACACACACACAAUAAAUCAAGCUAUGCAAUCAGAUAAACCAAAAACAAAAUAAACUGUCAGGAGAACAAAGCCGCACCAUAAUUUACGAACAUGUUCAACACGUCAGACGAGUGCUCCAGAGGCUGCUCGAGAUUUCAUGCACAAUGGGGAACCCGCUUAUUCGGUUCGUCGUAUUCUGGAUGCUAGACGGAAGGGAUGUGGAUUCCAGUACUUGGUGGACUGGGAAGGUUACGGUCCGGAGGAGAGAAGCUGGGUUCCUGCUAGGGAUAUUCUGGAUCACUCCCUGAUAGAUGAUUACAGUCUAAAGUUUGUUGCAGGCGCUACUGGGGUUCUGUCGUGCUCUCCCUGUCGGUUCUGAACGUGGUUUCUUGGAGCUUCUAGGCAAGUUGUCCUUGUGUGUUUCUCGCUGAGUUUCCUGCCUUUGUUUGCCUACUGCUGUCCCUGCGUCACGGAGCACCCCUGCAGCCACCUGCUUAUCAUCACUACUGCCAUUUAUGUACUUUCUGUGUAUUCUGUGAGAAAUAAACUGUUUGACUCACAUUUGGAUCUUCUGCGCUUCUUUCUACAGUAUAUCGUCACAGUUCCUCACUUUUGCUGUUCGUUGUUUUUCUUCUCUCUCUGUUUCAGAUCACUGCAUCAAGAUAAGCCUUUUCCAAGCAGCCCUCGAACAUCUUCUCAUUCGCCAUCUCCAUUUAUAUCUUUCAUUGCAUUAUUUGUACAGUAAUUGUUUCAAUGUUAUGCUGAUGGUUCUGGGGGGUUAUUACAGGCCCAGCUAAUCUUUAUUAUUGUAAAGCUGAACCCCUAUAUGGAACCAUACCGCCAAACCAAAUGUUGUAUAUUAAUAACAAUAAAUAUGUUUCAUUGCCAAAGUGGUCUUGAUGGAAGCACAUAAGUAUUCACAGCCUUUGCUCAAUACUUUGUUGAAGCACCUUUGGCAUUAAUUACAGCCUCAAGUCUUUUUGAGUAUGAUGCUACAAGCUGGGCACACCUAUUUUUUUGCAGUUUCUCCCAUUCUUCUUUGCAGGACCUCUCAAGCUCCAUCAGGUUGGAUGAGGAGCAUCGGUGCACAGUUUUUUUCAGAUCUCUCCCGACAUGUUCAGUCGGGUUCAAGUCUGGGCUCUGGCUGGGCCACUCAAGGACACUCAGAGAGUUGUCCCAUAGCCACUCCUUUGUUAUCUUGGCUGUGUGCUUAGGGUCAAUGUCCUGUUCGCCCCAGUCUGAGGUCCAGAGCGCUCUGGUGCAGGUUUUCAUCAAGGAUGUCUCUGUACAAUGCUGCAUUCAUCUUUCCCUCGAUCCUGACUAGACAGUUCCUGCCGCUGAAAAACAUCCCCACAGCAUGAUGCUGCCACCACCAUGCUUCACUGAAGGGAUGGUAUUGGCCAGGUGAUGAGCUGUGCCUGGUUUCCUCCAGACAGGAUGCUUGCAAUUCAGGCCAAAGAGUUCAAUCUUUGUUUCAUCAGACCAGAGAAUUUUGUUUCUCAUGGUCUGAGAUGUCACAGUUGUGUAGGUUGCAGUAAAGAGGAGGCGUUCAUGGACUUCAACAGAGUUGGGUUUUAUUAUCAAAAGGAAGGCAGAGAACCAUACACACAUUUAACAUAACAAUAAGAACGGACAGGGAGUGCAGGGAGUGAGUCCAACUAAAAGGGAGUGCUAAUGACGAGGACCAGGUGCAGGGAAUCCAGGAAUGGCGGGAAGACUGAUGAGGGAAGUGCAAACAGGUGAUGAACAAGGAGGAACAUGGGAAAUGGAGUCCAAGACAGGCAUGGUUGUAACAUUACCUCCCCCUCCCAGGAAGGCGCGUCCUCACGCCCAAGAUGUAACAACAGGGAAGGGGGGGUGGGCGCCCUGGAGACCUACACGCAGGUGCGGGGGGAGGUGCAGACAGGUGCGGAGGUCUCCAGGGCGGGUCUAGGAGCUCAGGCCGUCAUGGCGGAUCAGGGGCCAUGGGUGGCCAUGGCGGGUCUGGGGACGAAGAACCUCUUCAAUUUCAAAAUCAGAACCAUUCAGGAAAAGAAUCAGGUUAAUGGUCUCGUCUAGGGAAAAAAACAUGCAGGUUCACUAAAGCGAAUCAUGUCCUCGUCCAGACCCACCAGAAAACAAGUGUUAAGUGGGGCAUCUGGCCAGUUCACCAAGUAAGCAAGCUCAGAAAAUUCCUCCACAUACCUCUCCUGCGGGCGACCGUCCUGCCGAAAUCCCCAGAGACGGUCCAGGUGGUUCCAAACUUCUUCCAUUUACGGAUAAUGGAGGCCACUAUGCUCAUUGGGGAAAAAAAUCUGUACCCUUCCUCAGAUCUGUGCCUUGAUACAAUCCUGUCUCGGAGGUCUACAGAUAAUUCCUUGGACUUCAUGGCUUGGUUUGUGACUGAGUGACUGUGAGUGUCUUAUAUGGUGCUGUUGAUUGGACUGGUAAUGAGUGUCAGGUGCGUGUGAUCAGUACUCUGGUGAGGGAGUGCAACAUGAUUGGCUGGGUGCAGAGCCUGGUGUGUCUGUGACAAUUAUUCACAUUUUUGUAUUUUUUUAUAAAAUUGGAACAUUAUAUGUAAAAUUCACUUUAAAGAAUAUCUGCUUUUUAUAUUUUUAUUCAUGGAUAUAAUUCAUGUGCUAUGUUUAAGUUAUAAAUGUAUAAAUGAAGAUGUCUUAACAUUUAACAUUUAUAUAAAUGAAGAUUACUUAAGUUGACAGCUUUUUAAGUCAUUUUCGCAGAUCCGUGUAAAUGGGGAUAGUUUUGAUAAUGUUGUCAUCUGUACAAAGAAAAAACUUUUCAUUUUUAGUACAUUGUUGUCAUUUAACAAUUUGAUGAAAGCCUCAAACGCUUCAGAAAGCCUCAGUUUCCCAUCACUAGUGUUCAUUCAAUGAUAAGAUAAGCAGACUUAGCUUCAAUAGUAAUUGUCUCUUUGUCUUUGCAGGUGCUGGGAUGGCUUGAGGCUUUUUACGGAAUACAACAGAUGAUGAAGGCUGAAGACAACAGGAUUCCAUACAGGUAAGUCAAACAGUAGUGAAGAAGACCAGAUAGUGAUGGUGUGGAAGAAGACUGCUUAUAAACCUUGAUUGUGACAGGUGUGUUGAAUUAAUAUUCUGGUGAGGCUGAUUGAGUGGGUGGAGCUGAAAGGUCUGGUGUUAAUGAUGGUGUUGAUUCUGUGACAAUUUCUGAGUAUCUCUGUUGCUCAAAAAUAAAAAGGUUGCGGUGUGUUUGUGAAUGGAUUUUCUAUUUACAUUUGAAAGAAACUGAGGAGAUUGUUAACAAGGAUGCAACUAGUCACUUUUUGUUGAAAGUCACAGUUUGUAAUUCGAAAUAGGUCAUCUGUGUGAUUCAUGUUGAUCCAAUUAAUUUUUGAAAACUCUUGUUACUUGAUACUUCAAUACAAAGCAGUGCUGAACUGACAAAAAAGUGAUUUUGAAGAAAUCUUCCACUUAAACAUAGCACAUGAAUUAUAUCCAUGAAUAAAAAUAUAAAAACCAGAUAUUCUUUAAAGUGAAUUUUACAUAUAAUGUUCCAAUUUUAUAAAAAAAUACAAAAAUGUGAAUAAUUGUCACAGACACACCAGGCUCUGCACCCAGCCAAUCAUGUCGCACUCCCUCACCAGAGUACUGAUCACACGCACCUGACACUCAUUACCAGUCCAAUCAACAGCACCAUAUAAGACACUCACAGUCACUCAGUCAUUGUCCAGUCUCGGUAACGCAUACUAACCUGAAUGCUUACCUUCCGGACUCCUUACCUGUCUCCAGUGUGUCUCCUAGAUCCUCCAUGUUCUCCAUGUUCUCCAGUCCUCCGUGAGUGUCUAUGUGCUGUCUCUGUUCCAAGUCUCCUGGUCAUCGUUGAAUCUGGUGUGAAGAUCAAGUUCAGUAUUCCUGUCUUGAUAUAUUCUCUGUCUGGCUCCACGUCUCUCUGCCUUCAUCGAACCUGGUGUGAAGAUCAAGUCAAGUAUCACUGUCUUGAUAAAUACUCUGUCUGGAAACUUCAUCUGAAAUACUCACCUGCUAACUGGUCUGGUUGUCCCAAUAAACAUUGUAAACUUUACCUGUGUCUCCGACCUCCUGUGUAUCGUAACAGAAGACCGGACCUACACCACUGAGCAACCACUAUGAGUAAUUCAGAUCCAUUCCAGGAUUUGGUUAAUGCGCUCUGUCACCAGCACCACCAGCGAGCACUUCCACAUUCCGCACCACCGCUUCUACUCUGUCAGUUUUCGCCAGUCCGAUGGCCCGAUCGGCGCCCUUCUCUGGCGCAGCAGAGGAUUGCAACAGAUUCAUCCUGCAAUGUUCACUGGUUUUGGAGAUGCAACCGCACCUGUACCCUGAUGAUAAAGCGAAAGUCGCUUUUAUGAUUCAGCAACUGGACGGUAAAGCACUCCGCUGGGCAGAACCUCUUUGGACACAAAACAGUCCCGUCAUACAAUCCCUCUCAAACUUCAUCAGUCACUUCAAGGAGGUUUUUGGAAAACCAUCAUGGGAUUCAUCCAUUGGUGAGAGGCUGUGUAAUUUAAAACAAGGUGCUUCAUCUGUCUCUGAUUAUGCUUUACAGUUCAGAACCCUAGCGGCAGCGAGUGGGUGGAACAAACAAGCCCUCAUUUCCAGGUAUCGUCAGGGUUUGGACCCAUGUGUGCGGUUGCAUCUCGCUGCAUACGAGGAUUCCAUCGGCCUCGAGAAGUUCAUCCAGCUUUCCAUCAGAUUCACCACCCGUAUGCAGCUGUGCGCUGAAGAGCACCAAAGCCAACGACUUUUCCCAUCUUUCCUCCGCCAGCCCGAAUCCGUCAGCUCCCCAGAACCAGCCAGCUACGAGAUGUAGAUUGACAGAUCAUGUCUAUCACCAACUGAGCGGCAGAGGAGGCUGACCCAGGGUCUUUGUAUAUAUUGUGGUCUUUCUGGGAAUCUCAGAGCUGAAUGCCCCACUCAUCCAGUGCGAUCUAUGGUGUGUCAUCCUUCCUACAUUAAAUCAUCAAAAUCCACUCACCACUAUCGCCAACCUUACUGCUGCUGAUGUUUGUAUUCCAGUCAAUGCCUUCAUCGACUCUGGGUCAGCUGGAAAUUUCAUCUCCGGAGCCCUCUGUCGCCAACUCAACCUCAAGACCGUCAGUUCGCCGAAAAUCUACCAGAUCCAUGCAGUAACUGGUCGUCCUCUCCGUAAAGUACGUCACAUGGUGGGCCCUCUACGUCUACAGAUUGGCGUCCUGCAUCAAGAGGAUAUACCUCUUCUGGUUCUGGAGGACUCAACAUCUGACGUGAUUCUGGGGCACCCAUGGUUGGAGCAGCACAAUCCCAUCAUCUCCUGGCAGACAGGAGACGUCCUGAAGUGGGGUAACAAAUGUUUUUCUGGUUGUUUCCCGGUAUUACCAGUUCCAAGUCAGGUUCCAAGUCAGGUUCCAAGUCAGGUUCCAAGUCAGGUUCCAAGUCAGGUUCCAAGUCAAGCUCCAAGUCAAGCUCCAAGUCAAGCUCCAAGUCAAGCUCCAA